UACGUAGGGGGCAAGCGUUGUCCGGAUUUAUUGGGCGUAAAGAGCUCGUAGGCGGCUUGGCAAGUCGGGUGUGAAACUCCAGGCUCAACCUGGAGAUGCCACUCGAGACUGCUAUGGCUAGAGUCCGGUAGGGGACCACGGAAUUGCCUGGUGUAGCGGUGAAAUGCGCAGAUAUCAGGAGGAACACCGGUGGCGAAGGCGGUGGUCUGGGCCGGCACUGACGCUGAGGAGCGAAAGCUAGGGGAGCAAACGGG
rnacentral:rRNA from 1 species